rnacentral:rRNA from 1 species
UACGUAGGGUGCGAGCGUUAAUCGGAAUUACUGGGCGUAAAGCGUGCGCAGGCGGUGAUGUAAGACAGAUGUGAAAUCCCCGGGCUCAACCUAGGAACUGCAUUUGUGACUGCAUCGCUGGAGUGCGGCAGAGGGGGAUGGAAUUCCGCGUGUAGCAGUGAAAUGCGUAGAUAUGCGGAGGAACACCGAUGGCGAAGGCAAUCCCCUGGGCCUGCACUGACGCUCAUGCACGAAAGCGUGGGGAGCAAACAGG